UAAAAAACAAGGGAGCUUGCGUAUCAAGCAGGCUGAGAGGAAGCUGAAUCGCUUCGACCUGUGACCUGAUUUGGAUAAUGCCAACGUAGGGAUAGAAAAGCUGAGACAG
rnacentral:ncRNA from 1 species